GAUUCCGUAGUGUAGUGGUUAUCACGUGCGCCUCACACGCGCAAGGUCCCUGGUUCGAGCCCGGGCGGAAUCA
rnacentral:tRNA from 1 species